GACGAACGCUGGCGGCGUGCUUAACACAUGCAAGUCGAACGGAAAGGCCCUGCUUUUGUGGGGUGCUCGAGUGGCGAACGGGUGAGUAACACGUGAGUAACCUGCCCUUGACUAUGGGAUAACUUCAGGAAACUGGGGCUAAUACCGGAUAGGAGCUCCUGCUGCAUGGUGGGGGUUGGAAAGUUUCGGCGGUUGGGGAUGGACUCGCGGCUUAUCAGCUUGUUGGUGGGGUAGUGGCUUACCAAGGCUUUGACGGGUAGCCGGCCUGAGAGGGUGACCGGCCACAUUGGGACUGAGAUACGGCCCAGACUCCUACGGGAGGCAGCAGUGGGGAAUAUUGCACAAUGGGCGGAAGCCUGAUGCAGCAACGCCGCGUGCGGGAUGGCGGCCUUCGGGUUGUAAACCGCUUUCGCCUGUGACGAAGCGUGAGUGACGGUAAUGGGUAAAGAAGCACCGGCUAACUACGUG
rnacentral:rRNA from 1 species